UUUAGAGCCUAGUACCAAUAGUGUGGAUGCCUCAAGUGGUGUCACAAAUCACCCAAAACAACUUGGAAAUACUUGAGAGAAUAUGAUGCUCACUAGAAUCGGCCCACUCUUUGUUUCUCACACACACUAGUGCCAAUUCUAGAACCAAGGGCCUCUUUAUAUAGUAUGGAGGAUUAGAGUUAAACCUUAAUACCCAUUACUCUUCAUUUACCUAGGAUCUAUGGGUUAAAAGCUCCAUGGACUUCCAUAUACUCUUAGCCCAUCCUAAAUAAAUCUUAGCCCAAUCCAUAUAUAUGUAAGAGUCCAUAUUUAAUUAGCCUCUUUUGAUCACUAAAUUAAUUCCAAAAUCAAUUUUCAUCAACACUAAUUAAAUAAUAUGAUUUCAUAUUAAUAUAUUAUAACUUAUAAUAUAUUAAUAGAUCAUAAACAUCUUAUUCUAAAAAAUAUAUCCAUACAAAUUGUUAGGUGAAGUGCAACCCAAAUGGACCAUGCCAGGUCGGGUCAAGUUCAUACCAAAUAUAGUUAUGGACUUAGACACCUUAUCCAAGAGUCUCCCACUUGGAUAAGUCUGAUAACUAUAGUUGCAAGUAUAACUUCAGGAACCAACCAACAAUCGUAGCUCUUUAAAACUCUGUUGAACUAUGAAGCGCCAUUUUAGAUAAGUGAUCAUAUAAUCCUCUGUUCUCAAGAUAUCAGCCGGACAAAUACAUGGAACAAUGUCGUACUUAUUGUCCAACAGUUGUUUCUCGAUCUCUGAUUUGUUUGACAUAGAACUAAAUUGAACACAUCAAUUAGGUUCUCACUAGGCCCGACACAUAAUUCAAAACCAAAUCAUCGAGGGGCCCAGAUAUCGCUUCUAUUGCUAGAAGGAACAGAUAAACUUCGACCCAUAUGCUUGUACUAACUACUUGUUGAAUUAUGCACAAAAGCUCGUUUUAUGACAUCAAGUUACUGAUGCGUUUUUGUACAAUCAAUGGAUAACCAAAUCAUAGUUAACAACUCAUAUCUCUAGGUUUGAAGAUAUAUAUAUAUAUAUAUAUGUNACCGUCUCACGAUCACUCGAGAUAAAUCCCAUGAAGUGAUACAAGUGAGCAUGGGUUUAAUCCAAUACUCAGACCUUAUGAGCACUCAUGAAUGUUGUAGCAACCAUUGCCAUGUCUAAUGCACCUUAGACAAAUCUUACAAGUCAAAUUCAUGACAGUCUUAAUUCAAUACCUACUUCCAACGUAUGACCGACUGCGGAGAAUUUUGAAUAAAAUAAUUAUUCUGGAAGUCAAAACAUGUAAAAUUGAAACAAUAGUAAACGAUUAACAUAAGAUAGUAAACCUUACUUAUAAAUAAACAACAACUUUUAUUCAAUCAUCAAAUGUCAAUUACAUUUUACAAGUUUCAGAAAUAACUAUCUAAUUAUUAAAACUAAUAUCGUCUCUCAGGCCGAUGCUCCUCGCAUGCUGCAAAUGCCUAACCCUAGUCAGUCCCUUCGUGAGGGGAUCUGCAGGGUUCUCUUUUGAAGAUACCCUCUUUGCCACGAGGAGUCCUUCUUCUAUAUUGUGUCUUAUGAAGUGAUAUUUUUUGUCAAUGUGUCUGGAUCUAUCAUGAUCUCUUGGUUCCUUGGCUAAGGCAACCACACUAUUGCUGUCAUAGAAAAUCUCCAUAGGCUCCUGUAUAGCUAGUACAACUCCAAGGUCUCCAAUGAAGUUGUUUAGCCAUAUCGCCUCCUUUGCCACUUCACUUGCUGCUAUGUACUCUGAUUCACAAGUAGAAUUAGCUACUACCUCCUGCUUGGAACUUUUCCAAGUAAUUGCUCCUCCAUUUAGGGUAAAGACCCAGCCUGACUGAGAGCGGAAAUUAUCCCUAUCAGUCUGAAAACUAGCAUCGUUAUACCCUGCUACUCUCAAGUCAUCACUCCCACCGAGGGUAAGAACCCAGUCCUUAGUCCUCCGUAGGUACUUGAGAAGAUUCUUUACCGUAGUCCAGUGAGCCUUGCCAGGGUUUCCCUGAUAUCUGAUGACCAUGCUCAAAGCAAAGGCCACAUCGGGGCGAGUACAAGUCAUAGCAUACAUGAUCGAGCCAACAACGAAAGCAUAUUGUAAUCGACUCUUCUCAGCUAUCUCAGCCUCUAUACUCGGACUCUGACUCUUACUCAGUCUAACAUUGUGCUGGAUUGGUAAGUCCCUUUUCUUGGAAUUCUCCAUGUUGAACCUCUACAACACUUUAUCCAAGUAGGUACUUUGACUAAGUAUAAUUAGCCUUUUACUCCUGUCUCUUAGUAUCCUUAUCCCUAGAAUAUAGGCAGCUUCUCCAAGGUCCUUCAUAGCGAAACACUUCCCAAGCCAAGACUUAACCUCCCGCAAUGUUGGGAUGUCAUUUCCUAUGAGUAGUAUGUCAUCCACAUACAGUAUCAAAAAACUAACUAUACUCCCACUAGUCCUAACAUAUACACAUGAUUCAUCCUUGCUCCUCGAAAAUCCAAACUCUUUGACUUUCUCAUCAAAUCAAAGAUUACAUCUGUCAGAUGCUUGCUUAAGCCCAUAAAUGGACUUCUCAAGCUUGCACACUCUAUCGGGAUGCUUCGUAAUGACAAAACCCUCUGGCUGAGCCAUGUAAGCAUCCUCAGCCAACUUCCCAUUAAGGAAAGUGGUAUUGAGAUCCAUUUUCCAUAUCUCAUAGUCAUGAAAUGUAGCAANCUAAUAGACUUAAUCUUCGCUACUGGUGAGAAGGUCUCAUCAUAGUCAACUCCCGGAGUUUGAGUAAAGCCCUUCGCCACCAGUCGCGCUUUGUAAGUGUGUACCUUCCCAUCCAUGUCGGUCUUCUUCGUGAAGAUCCAUUUGCAUCCAACUGUCUUACGACCUGGUACAUUGUCAACCAAGUUCCAAACUUGAUUGUCAUACAUGGACUGAAUCUCGCUAUCUAUAGCCUCCUUCCAUUUAGCAGACUCGUGGCCUACCAUGGCUUCCCUGUAAUUAUUAGGUUCAUCCAAAUCUAUCAGUGUACUGUCACUAAUAAAUGUAUCACCUUCAGUAGUGAUGUGUUAACCAUAAUAAAAAUCAGGUGUGUUCCUAACUAUAGUGGAACGCCUUGGAGGUACGGACUCAUCUAUCGGCUCAACAGGAGUUUCCUCCUCAGGUUGGUCGCUAGUGUUUGAGGUUCCUUCACCACUUGACUCUUGGAGUUCUUCAAGGUUAAUUUGCCUCCUUGGAUUAUAAUUCUCUCUCACGAAAGACUCCUCUCCUUGCCACAAAGACCACAUUUUCACUGGGUCUGUAGAAGAGGUAACCAAAGGAUUUCUAUGGGUAGCUGAUGAAAAUACACCUCUCACUCCGAGGUACGAGCUUGUCGUGAGACUCACGCCACACGAAAGCCUCGCAACCCUAAAUAUUGAUGUGGUCUAAAUUAGGAACUUUCACAGUCCACAUCUCGUGAGGUGUUUUGGAAACCUUUUUGGUAGGGACUAGAUUAAGGAUAUGGGCAGCAUCUUUAAGGCAUACCCCCAGAAUGAGAUUGGUAACAAAGCUCGACCCAUCAUGGAACGAACCAUGUCCAACAAGGUUUGAUUGCGCCUCUUAGCCACACCAUUCAGCUGUGGUGUCCUAGGAGUUGUCAAUUGUGAGACAAUCCCACAUUCCUUAAGAUAAUCAAGGAACUCAAUACUAAGAUACUAUCCUCCCCGAUCGGAUUGGAGCAUCUUGAUGUUCUUGCCUAGUUGAUUCUCCACUUCCUGCUUAACCUCUUUGAACUUUUCAAAGGUUUUUGACUUAUGCUUGAUUAAGUAGAUAUAUCCAUAUCUACUGUUAUCAUUAGUAAAAGUCACAUAGUAUCGAUUAGCAUCUCUUUGUGGCAAUUUUGAAGGGUCCACACACAUCUGUGUGUAUGAGGUCCAACAAACUUUCACCCCUCUUACAAGUACCAGUGAAGGGUGACUUUGUCAUUUUUCCAAGUAAACAAGACUUGCAACUAUCAUCUGAUUUUAGGUCAAAUGAUUCCAAAACUCCAGCCUUUUGGAGUCGGCUUAUGCGCUUCUUGUUGACAUNGGAGUUGGCUUAUGCGCUUCUUGUUGACAUGUCCAAGACGACAAUGCCACAAGGAUGCUUUAUCCAAGGUAAUCGAAGAAUCAGUAUGAAAUACAUUAUUUCCUAAGCUGUCUACAAUCGACACAGUUUCAUAUACACCAUCAUAAGGUAAUGCUUUUAAACAAAACACAUCAUUAUAAAAAGCAUCAAUAGCACCAAUAAUUUUAUUAUCAAAUGAAAAUGUGAAUCCUUGCUUGUACAAACUAUGAAGGGAAAUAAUAUUUCUUGCCAUUUCUAACGAGUAACAAAAUUUAUUCAAAUCUAAAGUUAACACAUUAUUAAGCAAUAAAGAAUAAAAUCCAAUCUUGGUCACAGGUGAUGCUUUCCUAUUGCCCAUGAUAAUGUUUAUCUUCCCAUGCUCCACUUCUUCACUACUUCUUAGGCUCUGCAAAUCAGUACAAAUGUGAAUACUACAACCUGUAUCAAACACCCAAGAGUUAGUAUGUAAUAAUUUAUUAGACAAUAUGGUAUAAAUACCUGCAUGGUUGGUUUUAACUUUCCCAUCCUUUACAUCCUGCAAGUAUUUAGGGCAGCUUUGCUUCCAGUGCCCCUUUUCGUGGUAGUAGAAGCAUUGUGCUUCCUUUGGGUUUGAAGAAAGAGAAAUGGGAACUUUCUUGGUCCCACUUGAAGAGGAGCCAUCAAUAGACUUUCCCUUGGUACCCUUCGAAGGGUUCUUCCUCUUCUUCCCCUUUCCCUGACCAAUUACCAGAACAGGGGCUGUUGUAGGAGUAGGAGUAGAAGUAACAACCGAUUUACCUUUAAGGCCACUUUCAGCGGUCCUUAAAAGUCCUUGAAGUUUGCUAAGUGUGACUUCCUCCUUGUUCAUAUGAUAAGUCAUACGAAACUGAUUAUAACUUGGAGGUAAGGAAUGGAGAAUGAUAUCAAUCGCCAUGUCCUUAGGAAAGUCCACAUUAAGCUUUAGCAACCGGUCCACGAACCUUUGCAUUUUCUGCAAGUGACCGGUGAUUGGUUCACCAUCCUUCAUCUUGGCUGUUAUCAUGGAGGAGAUAAUUCAUACCCCUUUUGACGUGCACUCUGAUGGUGCCUUUCCAUCAGAUCCAGGUGCAUCUAAUAGGGGUAGAAAUCUUCAUAGGAUUUCUGGAGUCAUAGUAGCCAACAUAAUGCAGGAUACUUUAGUAGCAUCCCUCUCAUGUGCAGCAAACUCCGCAAUCUCCUCCGAAGUAGCAGUGGACUCAUUGAUAACCUUAAGCUACUUGUCAAGGAAAUAUUCCAUGUCCUCAUAGUGGGUAAUCAUUCUGAUGUUCCUAAUCCAUUCAUUGAAAUUAGAACCAUUAAAAGUGAUUUUCCCAUAGAAGUUCAUGUGGGAAAAGGAGCCUGUAAGGUUUGAGCCAGCAACAGUGUUGGAAGACAUCUGAAAGAAAAGAAGGACAAGUUUUAAUUAGAUAAAGAGUCCUUAAUAAGUCACCCAAAUGAAAUAUUAAGGCUAGGACCCUACAAACUAUUUCACAACUUGGAAGAGGGAUGCCGUAAUCCAAGCUAUAAAAUAUUUGAAGGUAGGUAAACGACGAUUUACCAAUUUCCACCAUGAAAAACAAAAUAAAUUGUUAAGUUUUAAUUGGAUUUGAAACUCCUAGAUCUUUUGAGAUUCAUUGAAAUUUCAAUGACGUGUUUAAAUCUCGAUUGUGCCCUCUCAAGUUUGUGACUGGGAUUCCGAGGAUCACAAACAAGGUGUGAAUAACCAUGCAAAUUGACUUGGUACCAUUUAUUUUAUCACCUAAUCGAUGUGCCAGUUAACCACACGCGCUCCACCGAUCUAUGAUAUAACUUAAGUCAUCCUUUGCCACUCUUAAUAGUCCUUGUUAGUGUGCCGGUUAACCACACACGCUCCACUAACGACUUGGUAAGGUGCAAAAUGUAAUUUCAUGGGUUAGCACCUAUUUCACAUUUUUCUAAAGUAACUAAGGUUGGGAAUUUAUAAAGGUUUAGUUACUUUAUAAUUUCAUUAUACUUUUAAUGAGGAUUAAGGUCCUAUCCUACCCAUUUUGCUAACGACCCUCCACUAGUCAAGGCAGCGGUGGGUGAGAGUGGACACCCAUUAAAUCGCCAUUUUAUAGGCAGUAACCUUAUACCCCCUUAUAGACCGACUUUGUGAAUGAGGCCUACUAACGGUAAUACUGACUUAUUCUUAUACAUAUAUAUAAUAAUUAAAAUUUUAAUAUUAUAGAAGUAUAAGGGUUGGAUUUUAAACUUUUAAAAUUCUAAGGUUCAAUUUGGAAUUAAAGUAUUAAUGUGUGAGANUGCUAACGACCCUCCACUAGUCAAGGCAGCGGUGGGUGAGAGUGGACACCCAUUAAAUCGCCAUUUUAUAGGCAGUAACCUUAUACCCCCUUAUAGACCGACUUUGUGAAUGAGGCCUACUAACGGUAAUACUGACUUAUUCUUAUACAUAUAUAUAAUAAUUAAAAUUUUAAUAUUAUAGAAGUAUAAGGGACGGAUUUUAAACUUUUAAAAUUCUAAGGUUCAAUUUGGAAUUAAAGUAUUAAUGUGUGAGACUUUACAAAUUCCAAACUUGAGGGCAAGUUUUAAAACUAUUCAAGACUUUUCAGCUUCAUAACUUAUGACUUAAUGGUUUAUUAAAAUGAGUGACUUUUCAUUUUAUGUAACCUAUGUGUUUUAAUACGGACUUUAAAAGAGUGACUUUUGGUAAUCCAUAAGUUGAGGACAAAUUAUGGAUUCCAUUAAAACUCAUAAUUGAUCAAGAAUUAAUCAUUAAACAAUUCAGCAAAUAAUUCAUAUGAUCUAACAAUAACUCAUAAGAACAUGAACAUUCAUAUCAAAAUUUCAAGAAUUAUAUUAACACAUAUAAAACAUGGAAUUUUGAUAUUCGCCAUUGUAAAUGGAUUAGCAUAACCAUUACACCAUCUAAAACAAGUUUUAAAACACUAAAACAGUUUAGGGUAAUGUUUCUAGUCCAUUUCCAGCAGCAAAACUCGAAAAACUACAUUCAGGGGCUCCUACUUGUCGAGUACAAGAACCUACUCGACGAGUAGGAUGAAUUAUCACAUGGACUCGUCGAGUCCCCCCAUGGACUCAGCGAUUUCAUGCUGCAGAUAACAGAUUUUUAGCUUUUUCAACAAGUUUGCAUCAAGUAUCAAGAAAACAAGCCUAGGCUCUGAUACUGCUGUUAGGUUUUGAGCAUUCUAACACUCCUAUGGUGUACAUGCAACCUUAGAAACCUUGGAUCUAUGUUUUCUCUAAAAUACAUGCAAAAUUGAUUUCCAAAGUUUACAAACUAGCAUGUUAUGGGGUACUUGUAAUAUAAAAAUUUAAGUAGAAUAACAUACCUUUCUUUUGUGGUUGAUUUCUUGGAGUUUUAGAGCCUAGAACCAAUAGUGUGGAUGCCUCAAGUGGUGUCACAAAUCACCCAAAACAACUUGGAAAUACUUGAGAGAAUAUGGUGCUCACUAGAAUCGGCCCACUCUUUGUUUCUCACACACACUAGUGCCAAUUCUAGAACCAAGGGCCUUUUUAUAUAGUAUGGAGGAUUAGGGUUAAACCUUAAUACCCAUGACUCUUCAUUGACCUAUGAUCCAUGGGUUAAAAGCUCCAUGGACUAUCCGUGCACUUCCAUAUACUCUUAGCCCAUCCCAAAUAAAUCUUAGCCCAAUCCAUAUAUAUAAGAGUCCAUAUUUAAUUAGCC
rnacentral:lncRNA from 1 species